ensembl:lncRNA
ACCCAACAGGAGAUAACUAGGGGUCACCUCUUCAAAACCCAACAGGAGAUAACUAGGGGUCACCUCUUCAAAACCCAACAGGAGAUAACUAGGAGUUACCUCUUCAAAACCCAACAGGAGAUAACUAGGGGUCACCUCUUCAAAACCCAACAGGAGAUAACUAGGGGUCACCUCUUCAAAACCCAACAGGAGAUAACUAGGAGUCACCUCUUCAAAACCCAACAGGAGAUAACUAGGAAUCACCUCUUCAAAACCCAACAGGAGAUAACUAGGGGUCACCUCUUCAAAACCCAACAGGAGAUAACUAGGAUUACCUCUUCAAAACCCAACAGGAGAUAACUAGGAGUCACCUCUUCAAAACCCAACAGGAGAUAACUAGGGGUCACGUCUUCAAAACCCAACAGGA